GAAAUGGCAAACCACUCCAGUAUCUCUGCCAAGAAAAUCCUCAAUGGGGCAUGAAGAGUUAGUUAAUUCUGAAAAACUACUGAACAAGAAUGGAUCUUCACUACAACCCUGGAGAUGAGGAAACUGAGGUGCUGAGAGAAGUGGACUGCCAGAGAGACCAUCAGAGACAUGUUUGGAACCUUCAUAUCCAGUGCCAUUUUCCCUGUUCCACAGAAGGGAUUUUGAAGGAACAUGUUUUACUCAUACAUGCUUAUGAGCUAACAUGAAAGACAAUGGCGAAGUUCAACUAGGUAUUAUGUGAUUGUUCAGACUCCCCUGACAGUUGGUAAAAAGAACAUUAAGUUUU